UACGGGGGGGGCAAGCGUUGUUCGGAAUUACUGGGCGUAAAGGGCUCGUAGGUGGCCAACUAAGUCAGACGUGAAAUCCCUCAGCUUAACUGGGGAACUGCGUCUGAUACUGGAUGGCUUGAGUUUGGGAGAGGGAUGCGGAAUUCCAGGUGUAGCGGUGAAAUGCGCAGAUAUCAGGAGGAACACCCGUAGCGAAGGCGGCACUCUGGGCCGAUACUGACACUGAGGAGCGAAAGCGUGGGGAGCGAACAGG
rnacentral:rRNA from 1 species